rnacentral:lncRNA from 1 species
GGAAUGGAAGAAGGACCCCCCCCGCCCCGAAGUUGUCUGCCACCAAAAUGAAAAGAAGCCGUGGGGUCCAAGCUUCUCUUUCCACCUGGUGUCCAUGUGAGCGAGGUCUCCCAGACGUAAAGGAAGAUGGGGACACCGUUCCUGGUGAGCUGUCACGAGAGGAAGCCCGUCCAUCUCGUUCACAGAGGCAUUUCCAACACAACGUCCCCUACAUUGUAUGAGUUUCAGAUGUACAACGUCAUGGUUCGAUACGCGUAUAUGUUGCGAAAUUGUCACCACAGUCCGUCUGGUUCACGUCAUCACCUCAAUUCUACUCCUAGGUACGUACCCCAAAGACCUGAAAACAGGUUUCCAGGCGAACACUUGUACAUGCGUGUUCAUAAGCAGCACAAGUCACAGUAAUCAUACAGGUGGGGACAGCCCAAGUGUCCACUGAUGGAUAAAUGCAACGUGGUCCAUCCACACAGUGGAAUAUUACACAGCCACGAACAGGAGUGAAGCUCUGACACACGCUGUACGUGGAUGGACCUUGAACACAUGAUGCUCAGGGAGAGAACCAGAUACAAAAGGACACACAGUGUGUGAUUGCUUUUAUAGGAAACGUCCAGAACAGGCAAAUCCACAGACAGAAAG